AUGGGUCUUGUAGUUGGCAAUAAUAGUUUUUUCGCCCUACAAUUUCUUUCACGGAGGCGGUCCCUGAUUAUGGUGAGCAAGCUUGCACUUUAGAGAAAUCUUAAGGAGUGAGAAGCCUUAAAUAAUUACUUACUGCAACCACCUGUCUAAUGGCGGGCGGAAGACUCCAAAUUGACAGCUCCUGACCCUCU
rnacentral:other from 1 species